GUAAGAAGGCAGAGGUAGCGAAAGCUUGAGAAAUACUCUUAGAACCUGAUCUAGUUAAUACUAGCGUAGGAAGUCCUAAAAUAUUUUUU
rnacentral:ncRNA from 2 species